UACGAAGGGUGCAAGCGUUACUCGGAAUCAUUGGGUUUAAAGGGUGCGCAGGCGGUUUUGUAAGUCAGUGGUGAAAUCUCUCGGCUCAACCGAGAAACUGCCAUUGAUACUGCAGAACUUGAAUACAGUUGAAGUAGGCGGAAUGUGUAGUGUAGCGGUGAAAUGCUUAGAUAUUACACAGAACACCGAUAGCGAAGGCAGCUUACUAAACUGAGAUUGACGCUCAUGCACGAAAGCGUGGGGAGCGAACAGG
rnacentral:misc_RNA from 1 species